rnacentral:rRNA from 1 species
UAGGGAAUAUUGGACAAUGGGGGCAACCCUGAUCCAGCCAUGCCGCGUGAGUGAUGAAGGCCUUCGGGUUGUAAAGCUCUUUAGCAGGGGAAGAUAAUGACGGUACCCUGAGAAUAAGCCCCGGCUAACUCCGUGCCAGCAGCCGCGGUAAGACGGAGGGGGCUAGCGUUGUUCGGAAUCACUGGGCGUAAAGGGCGCGUAGGCGGCUUUGCAAGUCAGGUGUGAAAUCCCGGGGCUUAACCCCGGAACUGCACUUGAAACUGCAUGGCUGGAGUCUCGGAGAGGAUGGUGGAAUUCCUAGUGUAGAGGUGAAAUUCGUAGAUAUUAGGAGGAACACCGAUGGCGAAGGCAGCCAUCUGGACGAGUACUGACGCUGAGGCGCGAAAGCGUGGGGAGCAAA